ACAGUCACUGGGCUCUCAAAACUGGAAUGCAAUUUAUAAAGCAGAGCAUUAUUAUUCCAAAACCCACAUUCUGCAGAGGAAGUGAAACUUCUCCAACUGGUUGGUGAGCUUCUCAGUUGUUUACCUCUGGGCUUCGGUUUCCAAGGGCAACUUAUUUCCUAGCCUCGCAGGCCAUAGGGAAAGAAAUCGAGGGCCCAGGUUACAAAGAGGUAUUUGAUUUCAGGCACUACCUGGCUUCCCAGAAUGCCAGCUUUCACCAGAGUCCAUGAGAGGCUGCUCGGGCUGUUCCUGCCUGGGGUCUGAGUUUUCUGGCCCCGUGCUGAGGCAGGCCUCCCCCGCAGACCCUUUCAGAUCUACAGCUCUUUCUGAUAAACCCAAGACCAGUCCCAACCAAACCAACUGGAAAGGGUCCAGGGUCAAUUCUCAAACCCUUUUGGAGACCCUGAGCCCAACCCCUCCCACUUGGGGUGCCUUUUCCAUCUCAUAAAGGAGUUGAAGAGCAGUCUUUCAUUUUUUCUUCCCCUUUGUGUGAGUCCAGGACUUGGAGAAAAGCCUUUCUUCUCCUCAGACCCUCUUUGGAGCAAAGUCCUGGUGGUCUCUUGGAUGGGCCAGGUCCCUAAGCUGGGCAGGCAGGUGUGCCAGCAGCCCACCUUCCAGAGCCUACCUUCACGCCUCACAAGGAAACAGCUUGGAAAGGACUGGGGCAUACCAACAUGUUUACGGAAUCAGCCUUUGGCAUUGGAAUAGAUCCAGUUUCAAAUCUCUAGGCCACUCCAUCAUUUAACGGAUAGAGGUUGGCCAGGCGCAGUGGCUCAUGCCUGUAAUCCCAGCACUUUGGGAAGCUGAGGCAGGCGGAUCAUCUGAGGUCAGGAGUUUGAGACCAGCCUGGCCAACAUGGCAAAACCCCAUCUCUACUGAAACUACAUAAAAUUAGCCAGGCAUGGUGUAGCCAUGCGCCUGUAGCCACAGCUACUCAGGAGGCUGAGGCAGGAGGAACACUUGAACCUGGGAGAUGGAGGCUGCAGUGAGUUGAGAUUGCAUCAUUGAACUCCAGCCUGGGCAACAGAGCAAGACUCCAUCUCAAAAAAAAUUUUAAAAUAAAGGAUAGAGGUAGAAGAGGACUAAUCAAAGGGCAAAGAGGAGAAUCCAGAAGGCCUGGUGUUAAGAAAGCUAGGAAAAGUGAUAUUGCCUGUUGCAAAAUGGACAGAGAAGGCAGGUGAGGACACAGUGAGAAGAAGGCCAUCUGCAAGCAGGAAUGGGUCCUCACUAGGAAUCAAAUCUGCUGGCACCUUGAUCUUGAACUUCCCAGCUUCCAGAACUGUGAGAAAUAAAUGUCUGUUUUUAAGCUACCC
rnacentral:lncRNA from 10 species